CUUCUAUUUGGAUGUUUGGACAACGAGGUCGACGCUGGCAAGGCCGUGCUCGCGGCGUCGCUUCCUGGUUCAUCGCAGCCGCCAUCGUUACCUGAUGAUUUGCUGCCCGGCCUUCCCGUCUCCAGGUCAGCUGUACAUCACCCCCCUCCCCAAUUUCUUCCUCCUUGGCAUAGUCCACCAAGGAGUGAUGGCAGGAUAAAAGUGACACUUCUCUACUAUGCUGAUCCAUCCCAGAAAGCUUCUUCGACCACUACAUUCUAUUUUGCAUUGAGGUAA
rnacentral:lncRNA from 1 species